UUUUUCUUCUUAAUAGCGCCAUGUGACUGAAUCAGUUGAGCCAUACCCAAGAGAUGUCUGCUUGAAUAUAAUUGAAUAUAUGUGUUGUUGGGAGAUAAGGUAAUAGAAGGCAUUUUCUCUUCCUACCACAGGAUAGCUUAUUCACCAACAAGUUCUCUGCCCUCUGUAACUAAACGUAGGAUGCUUUUUCCUCCUAGCCUUUUUUUUUUUUUCACAUUUCUUUUUUAGUUGUAUUCAGACACAAUAUCUUUAUUUUAUUUAUUUAUUUAUAUGAUGCUGAGGAUCAAACCCAGGGCCCCACACAUGCUAGGUGAGUGUUAUUCCUCUGAGCAACCUCCCCAACCCUCCUCCUAGCCUUUAUAAGGGGAGUUUUUCUAAUCUGGACAAAAUUAUUUGCAGAUGGUAUUUAAAACCUGGAAGGACUUUGACUUGAGCCAAUGACCUUUCCCCAUUUGUUUUUAUAAUAAGUAGAAUAUUCUACUGUUUAACUUCUCUGCCCUCUAAACUAACACAAAGUCCCUCUUAAAGAUUCAUUGUCUGAAGUAUUUCUUAGUCACCAAAAUCUUGUCUGUCCAGAGAAAAGCUUAAGUUUAACCUAGAGAGUAGGUUAUUUCUCUCCUAUAUUGCUGGUCUUUAAUUUUAAUCAGUAGUAUCUCCAUUGGAAACUGAAACUUACUUGGAAUUCCUCUUCUAAACCCAUAAACAGUUAAAUGUAUUUUAGAGUUAUUUGCUCAAAUUAACUAGCAGGAAUAUUAUAAAUAAUAAUAUGGUUGAGCUCUUAAUUUAUCACUCAGCAAUAGAGCAUUUAGGUACUAGAACAACAGCUAUUUUGAAGGCAAUGCAUCUUUCAAAAUAGAAUCACCAAGAAACAAAUUUAAACCUCUGAUAGGAAAGUUUGAAUCAUAGUGAUGCAUCAGUUAAGAUAAAGCAGUAUCAGCUUGUAGCCCUCUUGAGUUUCCUGUAAAUCAGAGUAUAGUGUGCAAAUUUGUCAUAUAUUCUGGGAAAACUCCAAAAGUGAAUGUCUUUGCAUUAAAAUUGUCAAUUCAUUCAAUGCCCAUUUUCUCCAAAGUCACAAAAGAAUUUUGGUAACACUUCACUUACUCCCUUCUUAGGAUUGUGGAUCUUAAUUGAGGUAAAGCAGUAGUUUCAUGCUUUAUCUGCCUUUCCACAGACUUCACAGGCAAAGAGACUCUCUGAGAGUGCCCUGGGGAAAAUAGAUGAAGUUAUCCUUAUUUGUGGACCUAAUAGUUGCAUUUUGUCAUUUCUGGCAAAAUCAGUGUCAGACCCUUAG
rnacentral:lncRNA from 1 species